rnacentral:lncRNA from 1 species
AGAAAAAAGAACAUAGAAUGUUAGCCUACAGAAAGGUCUUGAAUGACAGAAUUCUAGAAUGUAGAAUAUUAGAACUAGAAGAAGCCUGGGAGAUCACUUUGUUCAAACCCCUCAUCUAACUCAAGAAUAGACUGAGGCCAGGAGAGGGAAAGUUUGCCCAAGGGCACAUAGUUAAGUCACUGAUGGAAUUAGGCAGAUGAAGCUAUUUGGACUUAUUUCAAUUCAAUUAAGAAGCACUGCAGGUCUUUGGUCAGAGGAAUCUCAGAAUCUGAUGCAGAUGGAGGAGAGAAGUAUCUCAAAGACCUUCCAGAGCCAGCUCCAACUGACUGCUUUGCUCAUAGCAUCUGCUGUUGCUAGGUUGCUUUAUCUUGGCUGCUUGGACCUGCUCUACUCCUCACAGCCAGGGCUAAUUUUCUCUUGAAACCAUAGCUGGUUCUCUUCUCUGCUGCCAGGGAGCACACUGCCCAAGAUUCUCCUGACUCAAUUGUUUCCAGAGCUUUUAAAAGGCCUCCAGAUGCAUGGCCAAUCUUCAUUCAACCAAUGAUGUCCAACAGAGAAAACAUCUUCCUAUUUCUUUAUAACAAAGUGCAGCCAUAUCUCUGUACUUUAUUUAACUGCAUUCCCUUCCAAACAUUAACACAGGGUUAUGUCUAUUAUAUGGCCCUUCUGAAAUCAUUAACCAGGGGGGGUUGACAAAUUAAUCAGAGAUGCUCUGACUCUCCAUCUUCCCCAGGCUCUACGAUAAGAUGCUAUGAUCUUUAAUUCAGUAUCACAGCCUGAAAGAGAGAGAGAAAAAUUAAAAUUUUGAUCAUUAACUAGAAAUCUCUUGUCUCUUUCUUUAGGAUGGAAAGAAAUGAGGGAAGGGAUGCUCCAGAAGAGGGGAUAAGAGAUAGAUAGAUAGAUAGAUAGAUAGAUAGAUAGAUAGAUAGAUAGAUAAAUGGGUGAAUAGAUAGGUAAAUGGAUGGAUAGAUUGAUAGAUAGAUAAUGGAUGGAUGGAUAGAUAGAUAAAUAGAUAAUUAGAUAGAUAGAUGGAUAGAUAGAUGAUAGAUAGAUGGAUAGAUAGAUGGAUGGAUAGAUAGAUAGAUGAUAGAUGGAUAGAUAGAUAGGUGGAUAGAUAGAUGGAUAGAUAGAUGAUAGAUGGAUAGAUAGACAAAUAGAUAGAUAGAUAGAUAGAUAGAUAGAUAGAUAGAUAGAUAGAUGAUAGAUGGAUAGAUAGAUGGAUGGAUAGACAGAUAGAUGAUAGAUGGAUAGAUAGAUAGGUGGAUAGAUGGAUGGAUAGAUAGAUAGGUGGAUAGAUAGAUAGAUAGAUGGAUGGAUAGAAAGAUAGAUGAUAGAUGGAUAGAUAGAUAGGUGGAUAGAUGGAUGGAUAGAUAGAUGAUAGAUGGAUAGAUAGAUGGAUGGAUGGAUAGAUAGGUGGAUAG